rnacentral:rRNA from 1 species
AACGAACGCUGGCGGCAUGCCUAACACAUGCAAGUCGAACGAGACCUUCGGGUCUAGUGGCGCACGGGUGCGUAACGCGUGGGAACCUGCCCUUAGGUUCGGAAUAACUCCCCGAAAGGGGUGCUAAUACCGGAUAAUGUCUUCGGACCAAAGAUUUAUCGCCUUUGGAUGGGCCCGCGUUGGAUUAGCUAGUUGGUAGGGUAAAAGCCUACCAAGACGACGAUCCAUAGCUGGUCUGAGAGGAUGAUCAGCCACACUGGGACUGAGACACGGCCCAGACUCCUACGGGAGGCAGCAGUGGGGAAUAUUGGACAAUGGGCGAAAGCAUGAUCCAGCAAUGCCGCGUGAGUGAUGAAGGCCUUAGGGUUGUAAAGCUCUUUUACCCGGGAUGAUAAUGACAGUACCGGGAGAAUAAGCUCCGGCUAACUCCGUG